ACGGUCUUAUGCACCACAGCGCAAGAAAAAAAUUUUAUCUUGACGACCUCAGAGCAGGCGAGACUACCCGCUGAAUUUAAGCAUAUUACUAAGCGGAGGAAAAGAAACUAACCAGGAUUUCCUUAGUAGCGGCGAGCGAACAGGAAUCAGCCCAGCACCGAAUCCCGCGGUUCUGCCGCCGGGAAAUGUGGUGUUCGGGAGGGUCCAAUUCUCCCCGCGGUGUCGGACCGCGUCCAAGUCCAUCUUGAAUGGGGCCACUUACCCGUAGAGGGUGCCAGGCCCGUAGUGACCGGGACGCGCCGUGGGAGGACCUCUCCUUAGAGUCGGGUUGCUUGAGAGUGCAGCUCUAAGUUGGUGGUAAACUCCAUCUAAGGCUAAAUAUGACCACGAGACCGAUAGCGAACAAGUACCGUGAGGGAAAAUUGAAAAGAACUUUGAAGAGAGAGUUCAAGAGUACGUGAAACCGU
rnacentral:rRNA from 1 species